AUUGAACGCUGGCGGCAGGCUUAACACAUGCAAGUCGAACGAGUGGCGGACGGGUGAGUAAUGUCUGGGAACCUAGCUUAUGGAGGGGGCUAACUACGGGAAACGGUAGCUAAUACCGCGUACCAUCAGAUGAGCGCAAGGGGGAUUAGGUAGUUGGUGGGGUAAAGGCUCACCAAGGCGACGAUCCCUAGCUGGUCUGAGAGGAUGACCAGCCACACUGGGACUGAGACACGGCCCAGACUCCUACGGGAGGCAGCAGUGGGGAAUAUUGCGCAAGGGGGGCAAGCCUGACGCAGCAACGCCGCGUGAGUGAAGAAGGCCUUCGGGUCGUAAAGCUCUUUCGGUAGCGAGGCGGUAACUGCAGAAGAAGCACCGGCUAACUCCGUGCCAGCAGCCGCGGUAAUUC
rnacentral:rRNA from 1 species